rnacentral:lncRNA from 1 species
GAAAUCGUAUUUUGUUCCUCGACUUCCAUAUUAAAGCUACGACAUGUACAAAAGCAGCAGCAAUGAUAGCAUUUCACCAUGCACGACUACGAGUUUUACUGCAUAUCCAUUCCAGUUCACUGUCCCAGUCAAGGAUCUGUCUCGAACUGCCCAGCCAACAACAAAUUCUAGACCAUAAACUCUUAGUAACGCAACAUUUGAAAUAUAGGUGCUGGAAGGUUUCCACCUGUUGAUUGCAAAACACACACAGCGAAGGAAUUUGAAUACCAUAGUUGGCUAAUCUAUCCACAGUAGGUAACCUUCUUUGGGCAGCCAGCCAAGCAAUAAAUUUAUGUCGAGGCAGGACAUUUGUAACUAAAAGUAAAUUCCUCCAGUUGACUCUAUCAAACCUAGGGAGCAUACCAAUAUACAUUUUCUGGAUUUGAAAUUUGUCGAGGCAACAUACAGCCUUGAACCUGUCAGCAA